AACAGUAAUGUGAAGCAAAUCCCAUCAAAACCGGUCCCAGUUCGGAUUGAGGGCUGAAACUCGCCCUCAUGAAGUCGGAAUCGCUAGUAAUCGCAGAUCAGCACGCUGCGGUGAAUACGUUCCCGGGUCUUGUACACACCGCCCGUCAAACCAUGAAAGUCAGGAGCACCCGACGUCCGGAUUUAUUUCGGCCUAAGGUGAGCUUGGUGAUUGGGGUUAAGUCGUAACAAGGUAUCCGUACGAGAACGUGCGGAUGGAUUACCUCCUUU
rnacentral:rRNA from 1 species